GGUUGUCGUCAGCUCGUGUCGUGAGAUGUUGGGUUAAGUCCCGCAACGAGCGCAACCCUCGACCUUAGUUGCCAGCAUUCAGUUGGGCACUCUAAGGUGACUGCCGGCUAAAAGUCGGAGGAAGGUGGGAUGACGUCAAAUCAUCAUGCCCCUUAUGACCUGGGCUACACACGUGCUACAAUGGGCGGUACAAAGGGUCGCGAACCCGCGAGGGGGAGCCAAUCCCAAAAAGCCGCUCUCAGUUCGGAUUGCAGGCUGCAACUCGCCUGCAUGAAGCCGGAAUCGCUAGUAAUCGCGGAUCAGCAUGCCGCGGUGAAUACGUUCCCGGGCCUU
rnacentral:rRNA from 1 species